rnacentral:rRNA from 1 species
UUGACCUCGGAUCAGGUAGGGAUACCCAGUCUGCAACUUAA